CCUACGGGAGGCAGCAGUAAGGAAUAUUGGUCAAUGGGCGGAAGCCUGAACCAGCCAUGCCGCGUGCAGGAAGACGGCCCUACGGGUUGUAAACUGCUUUUGUACCGGAAUAAACCUUGAUAUGUAUAUCAAGCUGAAUGUACGGUAAGAAUAAGGAUCGGCUAGCUCCGUGCCAGCAGCCGCGGUAAUACGGAGGAUCCAAGCGUUAUCCGGAUUUAUUGGGUUUAAAGGGUGCGUAGGUGGCUUAUUAAGUCAGGGGUGAAAGACGGUAGCUUAACUAUCGCAGUGCCUUUGAUACUGAUGAGCUUGAAUCCACUAGAGGUAGGCGGAAUGUGACAAGUAGCGGUGAAAUGCAUAGAUAUGUCACAGAACACCAAUUGCGAAGGCAGCUUACUAUGGUGGUAUUGACACUGAGGCACGAAAGCGUGGGGAUCAAACAGGAUUAGAUACCCUGGUAGUCCACGCCCUAAACGAUGAAUACUCGAUGUUGGCGAUAUACGGUCAGCGUCUAAGCGAAAGCGUUAAGUAUUCCACCUGGGGAGUACGCCGCAAGGGUGAAACUCAAAUGAAAUUGACGGCUGAGAGAGCGACGACGACGACGAGGGAGGAGG
rnacentral:rRNA from 1 species